GCCCGGGGACGCCCGCUGGCGGGAGGGGUGCGCGCGAGUCGGAGGCCGCGGCUGACCCUGCUCCGGUGCCGCCAGGUACCGCAUCAGCCCGGACAGCAUCAUCCUGUACCGGCAGAGCAUCGGCACAGUGCCCACCGUGGACCUGGCCUCGCGCUACGAGUCCGCCGCGGUGGUGCUGCACUCGCCGCUCACCUUGGACCUGAGCGUCGCCUUCCCGACACCAAGAAGACCUACUGCUUCGACGCCUUCCCCAAAAUCCAGAAGGUGUCCAAGAUCACGUCGCCCGUGCUCAUCAUCCACGGCACGAAAGACGAGGUGAUCGACUUCUCGCAGGGGCUGGCGCUCUAGGAGCGCUGCCCCAAGGCUGUGGAGCCGCUGUGGGUGGAGGGCGCCGGGCACAAAGACAUCCAGCUCUACAGCCAGUACCUGGAGCGCCUGCGCCGCUUCAUCUCCCAGGAGCUGCGCAGCCAGAGCGCCUAGCGGCCGCCGGGGCCCCAACCGGCCGGACCUCAGCAAUAAGGCGGCCCCCGGACCUCACCCCGCACCGGCCUCCUGGGGGCUGCAUGUGGACCCCCAGGUGGCCCGGGGGACCCCGCCCGGAUCCAGGGGCCGUGGACGGUGUACAACAGAGCUACCCACUCCUUUCCUUUUGGAAGCAAGAAGAAAUAUGUGAAAACGGAAAUUAAAGAUUAAAAAUUU
rnacentral:lncRNA from 1 species